AUACUCUGAUUUCUCUUCAGAUCACGUAUAUCAUUUACCUUUUAAAAAAGUAAGAUCUCCA
rnacentral:snRNA from 1 species